GGCCAGGCAGGGGCGGAGGGGUGGCGUGUUGGUCCGACAGGGGCGGUGACGCCCUCCCCUCCGCUAGAUCCAGCAGGGGCGGGAGGGGAGGCGUGGUGGCACCUGACGGAUCUAGAGCCGUGGCGCAGUGGCAGCCAACGGCAGGAGGGGAGGCGGUGGCGGCCUGAUGGCAGCGCCCUCCACCUUCGCCAGCUCGAGUUCCAGCCGCCGCCUAAGCUACCACUCGCGGGCUCCGCUGACUCCACCUCCGACCGCGGGCUCUGCCGCCUCUACUACCGCCCGCGCCUCUGCCUAUCCGCUAGCUCGAGCUCCAGCCACCGCCUACGCCACCACUCGCGGGCUCUGCCGACUCCACCUCCGACCGCGGGCUCUGCCGCCUCGACUACUGCCCGCGCCUCCGCCUACACCUCCACCGGCCCAAGCUUGCAGGCGUCGGCCGGAUCUGGAGCUCCUGGGCGGAUCCAGGUCCCAACCGCCAGAUCUGGCCGUGGUGAUGAUUUUUUUGAUUUUGUUUUGUGCCCAAAUGAUUGUGAAUGUGAAGUGAUUUUGUUCUUUGGCCAGAUGAACGUGAUUGUGAUGUUUCUUGUGAUUCUAUUUUGUGUCAAAAUGAUUGUGAAUGUGAUUAUUUUUGUGAUUUGUUAAUGUCUAAUAAAAGUCUGCGACUGGCUGUGCUUAUAAUUUUUUUUGCCACAUUCUUUAGGUCUGUAACGGGUCUCAAUCGAGACCCCUC
rnacentral:lncRNA from 1 species